rnacentral:rRNA from 12 species
GCUACUGUCCAAAGCUAAGCAGGGCCAUUCCUGGUAAGUACAUGGAUGGGAGACCAACUUGAAAGACCAGGGUUCUACUAGCC